UCCGUUGCCGGUGGGGAGACUGGGAGCUUGGUGGCGCUCCUCCAGGACUUUCUCCGCUGACUUAUGCAGCUUAGCCUUGCCCUUUUCAUCCCCGCUUUUGUGGUUGUUAACGUCCUGGGUUCAGAUCCUGACAUUUGAUGAGCAAAACUAGGCUUUGAUUGGAAUUCUUCUGGGAGUAAAACUGGAACUGAGCUGAGAAGAACGAGCCAAGAAGAGCCUGUCACCUUGCUUACCAGAUUCCAAAGACCUCCAUGAAAGAUCUGUGUAAUGGGAAUCUUCUAAGUACCACAAAAAACGGGGCCAAGAGGCAAGUUCCCCCACCUGAAGCUGAAGUAUGUGCUGGACUGUCCUCCAGGAAUGUAAGAAAUUCAAGCGUUUUCUACAUGGAUACAGAAUAUUCAGCUCAAUUCUUUCCUCUGUUAGUAAGAUGAGCUCUCUAUACUGACCUCAUUUUUGUGGAUUUAUUUCAUACUAUUGUUCCCAAGAAGAGUUACUUUGUAUUUUGGGCUUUAUAUGUACCUCGUUGGCCAGAAACAUGAGCAGGCUAAAUAUAAACAGACCAAAAAAAAAAAAAAACCCUCUUAUAUUCAGAACAACUGAAUAGCAACAUUUCUCUAGAUUAAAGACAAGAAGCUACCUAUAAAUCGUUUUUCAACUCCAUAAUAUAGUGAUAGCCAGAAAUUAAUGAGGCAAAAGUAGCUUUCCCAGUUCCCUCGAGCUCUGAGUGAUCAUGUGACUAGUUCUUCCCAAUACAAAGUGAACGAAUGUGACAUGUUACCUCUGGACAUGUUAAGAAAUUCAUGUUGCUUCUCAAUGACCUCUUAGUCCACACCCAAAGAAUUGAUGUUAUAUACUAUGAUAUUCUCUAGAUAGUUGAUCUGUGAGCUGGAGGGAGAUAGUAUUCUUGCAAGACCACACAGGAAAAAAAUUGUUCCAUCACAAUUGUUUCUAAGUAAGAAUCAUUUUAUAAGAAAGAAUGUUUUUAUUCUGUUGAACUGUUGCAUUUGGAUUUAAUUAUCACCACAAUCUUGUGGGUCUUCAUUAAUCUUUACGAUGUAUAUACUUUCUGCUAUUGCUUACAAAUCUUUAAUAUUUUCAGAGACCUCAGUCUAUGUACCUCCCUAGGAAAUUCUGUAACUUCACUUAUUUUCAAUCGAGUGCACAUACUUUGUGGGUAUUUCGAUGUGUAAUAGACUUUAAUGGGGACGAGGGCAGAUGGUCAUAUAUAUUGGAACAAAAUGAAAUUGUUACUGGAAUGAUAACCAUGACAUUAACAAACUGUGUAGAUAAGUAGUGAUUUUACCACUUCUUAAAAGUAGAACUACAUCCCCUUAAAUUUAGCCAAUAUUAUUUGCUGUGCCCAUGAACAUUCACUGACAGGUUUGAUGAGACCACACUUCAUGCUUUCCUUGUUCAGACAGCGAAAGUUGUUUCAUGGAAAACGUGUUUUAAAUGAAAAUGAACAGGUAGGAAAUAAAACUAUAACACAAAUCUAGACCCAUAGUUGGAUAGCUGACAGCUGCAUGACUGCAGGAAAAAUAGUCAAUAUUUUCUGUAAUGAUAGAUUGAAAUGGGAUUGAAGUACAGCUGGAUUUUGUCUGAUGCUCCAUAACAGCACACAUCUCUCUCAGACUUAAAAGAAAUAUCUGGAUGAAUUUGAUGACUUAGACUAUUCAGUAAUCACAAAUUCUAUCACUUUUCUUUGUAUAUAAAUAUUGAUAAUUUUCUUCUAUCUAAUGUGGCAUUUCAGAAAUUAGAAUGCCUUGCUAAAUACUGUUUGUAAUAGAUUCAGGUUUGCUCAAUGAUACCUAUGUAAUGACUUCUCCAAGACCUUACAAAAAUAAUGUACACAAUUAAUGAUAUUUUUACUAGACUCAGAAAAAUAUAACCCCAUGAACUCAAGAACUGUGAU